rnacentral:lncRNA from 1 species
AGGAAAGAUCAAUGCAGUGGCAAUUACAAGUUGCGAUUCCGUGGUGCCUCCAAGUGUUGUUCCUUGUGAUCGUGUACCAACUAAGGAACAGCAGCAUUCUUACAGGAAAGUGAUAGGUGUGGUGUCCUUCUUUGUCGAUAAGACUCGUCGAGCACAUACAUGCCCAUGGGCUCGAGCUGGUCGAGGGAUUUGACUAGAAGCACACAUAGUGGCAUGGCCUGCAGCCUUUUGUUCUUCCAC